GGCCUAAUGGUCUAGUAGUAUGAUUCUCGCUUUGGGUGAGGAAAGUUUAUAAGUGUCAAAUCUUAACCUUGCGAGAGGUCCUGGGUUCAAUUCCCAGUUAGGCCC